UGCCUCAAAGCUCAAGUGGCAGAGCGGGCGGCUGUUAACCGCAAGGUUGCAGGUUCGAUCCCUGCUGGGGCAG
rnacentral:tRNA from 1 species